GGGAAAUUUUGAGGAGUCUUACAUUUCUAAUCCUCCAGUCAUCGAUCCAUUUUGGCGUUGAAAAUUGGUGGGGAUAAAAGGCAACUGAUUUCCUGGGCAACUGACAAUCUAGUUAAGUAUCAGACUGACAGGAUGUUGGCACCAGCUUUGGAGGAAUCGAUCAGCCUCAACUCAAGCUCUCUGUCCUGAGACACAACAGCAGGAUGUGCCUUGGAGAAGGGUCUCAGGGUGGAGAAUUUGGAACUGAAUCAAAAUCUACACACUCAGGG